rnacentral:lncRNA from 1 species
UUCCUUCCUCACAUCCGGAGAUCAGUUGUCCAUACUAGUCCUCCUCCAGACUCUCAGUACUAUAAGAACAUAAAAGCAGCACUUGAUUCUGAGUCUGAAGGCCAUGGGUUCCAAACUAAAGACCCUCUGCUUUCUGUUUCUUGGUCUCCUGCCAAACACCACUGCUGAAUGAUGCUCAAGAAUGAUUCUCUAUCAACAAGAAUAUAUCUGUCCUUUUUUGAUUUGACCUCAGCCCCAAAUUAUCAGCAUAAAAGAAAGGAAUUGUAACAGGAAUAAAACAAAUCAAGAUACCACAGAAUAGAUCUGGAUUCUGAAGGGAAGAAGGAAAAUUGGAACUACAAAAAGUCUUCCUACAGUAACUGUUCCCCUCAAUGACUAAGGAUCUCAGGAUAGAAGCAAGAUAAGCAGAGGGAAGAGGAAAGAGAGGAAGAGGUUGUGCUUUUCCCAAGGCUUUUAGAUUCAAGAUUUUGUAUUAUCUUCAUCACAAUAAAAAGAAAAAUAAUAAUGAGAUAAUGGUAUCCUGGUUCAGGCCCUCAUCAUCUCAUCCCUGGACUACUACAACAGCCUGACAGUUGUAACAUCUCCCUGCUUCAAGUCUUGCUCCACUCCAACCUAGCUUCCACUCAGCUGUCAAAGUAAUUUUCUAGCAUACAGAAUGCCAUUCUACAUAAGAAACAAUAUUUUUUAAACACAAAAGAAGAGAAAAAUCAACAUCAAAAAAAUCUAAAAAUAUGUGUAAUCUAUCACAUUUGUAGAUCUCCCAUAUCUGCAAAGGGAUUGUCUUCUAGAAAAUCUGAUUUCAAGCCAUGUUUAUUCUUUAUAAUUCUGUAUUAUUCAAUUUUGAUUUGUGUGUAUGUAUUUGUUCCUUCCAUUUACAUUGCUGUAAUUGUGUAAAUUGUUUUUCUUGACUUUGCAUCAGUUCAUGUAUCUCUUUCCUAUGUAUUCUUCACAUUUUUGCAAUUCUUACUGCAUGGUAAUAUUACAUUAUUAUUCACAUAUCACAGUUUGUUUAGCUAUUCUCCAGUUGAUAAGCAUCUACUUUUGUUUUGGUUAAGAAAUAUUUUAAUAUACAUUGUUUCACU